rnacentral:rRNA from 1 species
GAUGAACGCUGGCGGCGUGCCUAAUACAUGCAAGUCGAGCGAACGGACGAGAAGCUUGCUUCUCUGAUGUUAGCGGCGGACGGGUGAGUAACACGUGGAUAACCUACCUAUAAGACUGGGAUAACUUCGGGAAACCGUAGCUAAUACCGGAUAAUAUUUUGAACCGCAUGGUUCAAUAGUGAAAGACGGUCUUGCUGUCACUUAUAGAUGGAUCCGCGCUGCAUUAGCUAGUUGGUAAGGUAACGGCUUACCAAGGCAACGAUGCAUAGCCGACCUGAGAGGGUGAUCGGCCACACUGGAACUGAGACACGGUCCAGACUCCUACGGGAGGCAGCAGUAGGGAAUCUUCCGCAAUGGGCGAAAGCCUGGCGGAGCAACGCCGCGUGAGUGAUGAAGGUCUUCGGAUCGUAAAACUCUGUUAUUAGGGAAGAACAUAUGUGUAAGUAACUGUGCACAUCUUGACGGUACCUAAUCAGAAAGCCACGGCUAACUACGUG